rnacentral:rRNA from 1 species
AGAGUUUGAUCCUGGCUCAGGACGAACGCUGGCGGCGUGCUUAACACAUGCAAGUCGAACGGUGAAGCGCCUUCCUUUUUGGUGGGUGUGGAUGAGUGGCGAACGGGUGAGUAACACGUGAGUAACCUGCCCCCUUCUUCUGGAUAACCGCAUGAAAGUGUGGCUAAUACGGGAUAUUCUGUGCCUGCUGCAUGGUGGGUGUGGGAAAGAUUGCGCUUUUUUGGUGUUUUUGGUGGGGGAUGGGCUCGCGGCCUAUCAGCUUGUUGGUGGGGUGAUGGCCUACCAAGGCGGUGACGGGUAGCCGGCCUGAGAGGGUGGACGGUCACACUGGGACUGAGACACGGCCCAGACUCCUACGGGAGGCAGCAGUGGGGAAUAUUGCACAAUGGGCGCAAGCCUGAUGCAGCGACGCCGCGUGAGGGAUGGAGGCCUUCGGGUUGUGAACCUCUUUCGCCAGUGAAGCAGGCCUGCUCCUUUUUUGUGGGUGGGUUGACGGUAGCUGGAUAAGAAGCGCCGGCUAACUACGUGCCAGCAGCCGCGGUAAUACGUAGGGCGCGAGCGUUGUCCGGAAUUAUUGGGCGUAAAGAGCUCGUAGGCGGCUGGUCGCGUCUGUCGUGAAAUCCUCUGGCUUAACUGGGGGCUUGCGGUGGGUACGGGCCGGCUUGAGUGCGGUAGGGGAGACUGGAACUCCUGGUGUAGCGGUGGAAUGCGCAGAUAUCAGGAAGAACACCGGUGGCGAAGGCGGGUCUCUGGGCCGUUACUGACGCUGAGGAGCGAAAGCGUGGGGAGCGAACAGGAUUAGAUACCCUGGUAGUCCACGCCGUAAACGUUGGGCACUAGGUGUGGGGGGCCUUUUCCGGGUUUUCCGCGCCGUAGCUAACGCAUUAAGUGCCCCGCCUGGGGAGUACGGCCGCAAGGCUAAAACUCAAAGGAAUUGACGGGGGCCCGCACAAGCGGCGGAGCAUGCGGAUUAAUUCGAUGCAACGCGAAGAACCUUACCAAGGCUUGACAUGUGCCGGUCGGCUCCGGAGACGGGGUUUCCUCCUUGUGGGGCCGGUUCACAGGUGGUGCAUGGUUGUCGUCAGCUCGUGUCGUGAGAUGUUGGGUUAAGUCCCGCAACGAGCGCAACCCUUGUCUCGUGUUGCCAGCACGUUGUGGUGGGGACUCGCGGGAGACUGCCGGGGUCAACUCGGAGGAAGGUGGGGAUGACGUCAAAUCAUCAUGCCCCUUAUGUCUUGGGCUUCACGCAUGCUACAAUGGCCGGUACAGAGGGCUGCGAUACCGUGAGGUGGAGCGAAUCCCUUAAAGCCGGUCUCAGUUCGGAUCGGUGUCUGCAACUCGACACCGUGAAGUUGGAGUCGCUAGUAAUCGCAGAUCAGCAACGCUGCGGUGAAUACGUUCUCGGGCCUUGUACACACCGCCCGUCA